rnacentral:lncRNA from 1 species
AAAUGACUGACCUCCAGCAGGAAGUGUGCUUGCUUCAAGGGUGGAAGAACAAUGUGGAAACUGUGGACGCGGGUUUUCCAUUUUAAAGCGCUCAGUGGAACUUGUAGAGAAGUGACAGGCAAAGUUAGAGAGCACCUCUUCGCCCGCUGUCACAUGCACCUGGAUGUUAAGUGUGAUCUGAAACAAAUCCAGAUAGGAGUAAAUAAACAAUAUACUAUCAGAGAGCCACAACUCAUCAUAGCUCAGAACUUAACCCUAAUCUCUACCUGUCCAGUCUGGUCCUGUGUAACUUGAUAGGAAACCAUUUUGUGCUGAGAAUCAUCAGGAAUGGACAACCAGUCUGAGCCUUGGCAGUUUUCUUCAAAUGUACAGCUAGGAGAAGAAAAAAGGUAAGUCCUAUACAAGUUUUAAAUUCCUUUACUGAUGUUCACUGCAGAUGAUGUUUCUAACCUUUUUUCAGGGCCACACCAGACACAGUAUGGAUCCUGUGCAGACCAACAAUCCUGCACAGUUUUGUAUGUGCUGCACUUUGACACAGGAACACGAUUGAUCUAAAAAUAAACAUUUCAAAAUUUCAACUUAACAGCAUUUAAAAUACAGCAAAGAUAUACACUCACCGGCCACUUUAUUAGGUACACCUGUCCAACUGCUCGUUAACACUUAAUUUCUAAUCAGCCAAUCACAUGGCGGCAACUUAGUGCAUUUAGGCAUGUAGACAUGGUCAAGACAAUCUCCUGCAGUUCAAACCGAGAAUCAGUAUGGGGAAGAAAGGUGAUUUGAGUGACUUUGAACGUGGCAUGGUUGUUGGUGCCAGAAGGGCUGGUCUGAGUAUUUCAGAAACUGCUGAUCUACUGGGAUUUUCACGCACAACCAUCUCUAGGGUUUACAGAGAAUGGUCCGAAAAAGAAAAAAUAUCCAGUGAGCGGCAGUUCUGUGGGCGGAAAUGCCUUGUUGAUGCCAGAGGUCAGAGGAGAAUGGCCAGACUGGUUCGAGCUGAUAGAAAGGCAACAGUGACUCAAAUAACCACCCGUUACAACCAAGGUAGGCAGAAGAGCAUCUCUGAACGCACAGUACGUCGAACUUUGAGGCAGAUGGGCUUUGGGAUGUGGUGGAACGAGAGAUUCGCAUCAUGGAUGUGCAGCCGACAAAUCUGCGGCAACUGUGUGAUGCCAUCAUGUCAAUAUGGACCAAGCUCUCUGAGGAAUGCUUCCAGCACUUUGUUGAAUCUAUGCCACGAAGAAUUGAGGCAGUUCUGAAGGCAAAAGGGGGUCCAACCCGUUACUAGCAUGGUGUACCUAAUAAAGUGGCCGGUGAGUGUACUUAUAUGCAGUAUAAAUAACACCAGUAAAAAUUUGAAGUAUUUAAAUUUACUGAGUGAUCACCUUGACCUUGUAUGUGGUACUUGUACACUACACCUACCUGGUUUUGAAAUGGGACAUAAACAUGUUUCAGAUCCACCUGAUCCAGAUGUAGUUUUGAAAACACUUUGCGGUCGUCACUGGUUUUGAAGAGCACUUUGGGGCAGUUGGUCUGGUAGUUCUUGUCCACAGCAAGCUGAAAACAAAAAGGCGGUUUUGUUAUGUUUCUCUGGGAUGGUGCUGCUCUGCUGCUGGUGGGUAUUCCCAGAACGUAAUCCGCAGCCUCAGUCAAAGCUCGUGGUAAUUUGUUAAGUGGUACAGUUGCAUUUUCAUGUAUUUCUGUGGUUAUAGCAUUUCUCAAAUGCUUGGCCGCUAGCUGAUGACCCGCACCAUGAAGGAGAAACACUCAUUCUAUGCGUGACUUUCAGCCCUAAUGGGGAUGCUGUGGUGUUUUCUGACACCACUGAGAGCUCAGUCUAACCCUGCAUUCACCUGUGGUAGGGGGAAAAAACGGGUUUGGGAAUUUCAAAAGCCAUGAAAACCUUUUAUGGAUUAGAACCUGGAAAGCAACCUCAGAACCCACUGUGGCUACUUUUUGAUAAAGCCCAUGAGAGGAAAAUAAGACAACUUUCAUUGGUUUACAGUAGGGGUAUCCCAAUACAAUUUUUCUUUUCCCUGAUACGGUACCGAUAUUGUAGCCUUUGAUAUUGUCCAAUACCGAUAUUGAUCAGAUAUUAGUACAAACUUGGGCAUGAUAAGUCUUGCACUUAGCUGCAACAUCUUUUUUGGACUUAAAUGAAAAAUACAGCCACAGGGCCGACAUCACUCCUACUCCUUGCUACUUUGCUAGUACCUUCGUACACACUGUUGUUGUGAUCACAUGGGCUCUACAUGCUGGAUCCAGGUGCUGCUAGAUAGAGGUGCUGGAGUGGAGUCUGGAAUGGACUGCUUGUAUCGGAGUGCUGAUAUCGGAGAUUUUAGAUGCAGGCAGAUAUAAUCCGAUAUUUGAUUUUUUGUUGAUAUAGGACCGAUAUUUUAUAUUGAUAUCAUAUUGGGACACCCCUAGUUUAUAGUCCAGCAAGUUUCUUUUGCAUUUCCCUUGUUUUGAAGUGGUCGACAGCUCAAGAUGUAGCAAUGGAGUUGAGGGACUGACAACUCAAAACAAAGUGUCAGCUGCAGUUACACGUGUCUAAUACAUUACAAUACACAAUAGCUCACCAAACAGUGAAUGACAAAUCUGCAUCUGACUGUUUUUUAUUGUUUUGCCCUGUUGCUUGGUUUUUACUGUUGUUGUCUUGUUGUGCACUUUGAGAUUUGUUUUUAAAUGUAAAGUGCAUUACAAAUAAAAUCUAUUAUUAUUAUUAUUAUUAUUAUCCUGACUUGUUGCUGGGAUACAAUUUAUUUGCCUGUUCUGAUCUGCUGAUUAUUUAAUAUUUUAAAGUAACAUUUCUUUACUGUCCCUUCACAUCAUUAGUAUUUAGGGCUUAUUUCCAGUGACCUGUGCCAGAAUCUUUUCUAAAAUAUCAAGAUGAGUAAGAAGCUGGUCUGUGCAAGGGUCAAUAACUAUAUUUCUUACUGUAUGCACAGUCUGCCCAAUCUGAACAAACAUUUCAUAUCACUUCAUAUUUGAAGAAACAGGUUUAUAGGAGCAAUAAAGAGAGUUGAGGUUUACGUAAAUGCUCCUUUUCAGGGAAAACUUGGACAAAAAACAAAACUUUGGAUGUUAUAGAGUAUUGUGAUAAAUACAAAUGCAGAUCUCAUUACUCUACUUGAAGGCAAAACUAUAAUUUUCAGUUUUCUAUGCCAUAACUAUGUUCUCUCAAUAGUAUACUGUUUCAUCAAAUUACAUUUACUUUUAAAAUAUUAUUCUAUCAUUAUUCUCUAUUCUACUUAAUGCCACUAAAUAUUACAUGUUAUGCCUUUAAAUGGAAAUGACAGUAUUUAGAAACUUUAUGCCAUUUCCUGUAGUUAUCUUCUGCUAUUGCACCCAACUUUGUAAGACCAAACUUGUAUUUGUGAGGUGUCAGUUUGUCAUAUUUAUUUCCAAAAUAGUGAUUUAUUCAUGGGUAACAGAGGGACACUGUUAAAGGGGUCACCACCCAGACAUUCCUAGUAAACAAAACCAAGGUUGACAUUUGUUGGACUUCCACAGAAUAGUGUGUUUUUUAUAUACUAGCUGUGAAAAGUUGCCCUUAUUUACAUUAUACUUAAUCAAGUAGCAUUUCUGUAGCAUGAGAUCAAUCAGAUCGGUAUUGUGUUUUGUCAGGACAUACAAUCUUAUAGUGUUACUUUUGUCAAAAUUUGUUGAAACUACGAUAAGCUUUAGUUAACCAAACUACUCUUCUCUCUCGGGUACCUUAGCCAUUUUUUAAUUUUCUCCUGUGCGUUGUAAUCUUGAGCUUCAAGGCUCUGCUUUUAGAGCAGCUAUUCCAUCCCUUUAUGUCCCUUUGUAGACUCACCUUAAUAAGCUGUCCAUCUCCUGUCCCGAUGAAGAAAACUAUCCAGGCCUUUUGUCUCACUGCCAGCACAGAGGUCAUGUAGUUCUGCUUGAAGACCACCGCCUUCUGCUUCAGUGUCUUUGGCUGAGAAACACAAUAAAUUCAUAAUUAGACAUAAUUAAUUUUGUAAGUAUUAGAGGGUAAAGUGUUGAUGGUCAAAUGUCUAUCAGGCUUCAAAACUGACCCAUCAUCUUUUAUAAACCUUCAUAAACUGAUUUGAUGGUUUAGUAAGUUCAGCUUCAGUAAGUACAACUUUGUAACUUCCUAAAAAGCUAUCAGAGGAGAGACAAGACUGCACUUUGAGAUUGUUUUAACACUUUUAAUUUUCUACUCAUUUUAAACAAUUUUAAAAUUCUCUUUAUCCAAGUAAUAUAAUCUUGCAUUCUUUUAGAAAAAUGUUUUAAAAAUUGAAUUAACCUUUUAAUUAAUGAUAUGUUGGAGGUAAAGAUGGAUGUGGACACAAGUGCUCAUUAAAGCAACAUAAUUUGACGACCACCCACCGUUGGUCUGUUCCUGUCACCACAGUCAGAGCAGAAGUCCGGGUCCACAUCGGUCCUUCCUCUAAGAUCAGGACUGAUGUCAAACACCACCAGCUCGGUCUUAGUUUGUCCUUCGCCCACACUGAACACACCGCCCCAGAGCACCGGCGGACCGUCAGGGAUGACCGAGGAGGCGAUCAGUCUGCGGUCUUCACCUCCAUCAGAGACACUGAGGGUCGCACCCCGCAACGACGCAAGACUCUUACCUUUACCUCCUUUGCCAACAAGCCAAAGCAGACGGACUUUGUUGCUUUCAUAUUUUGAGGGCAGAUUAGAAAAAAGAUAAAUGAUGGAGUUAAUCUGAAAUCCAUCCACAAACUCCACAUCGACCUGGAUGGGGAGUUUGGUCACAACGUCCACAUCGUCCUUGAGUUUGAUUGCAGAAUUUGUGUCCUGGAUAUAAAGAGAAAAUAUUUGUCCUGUCUGGUCGUUAUUGGUGUUGUGAAGGCUCACUGCCUCUGACACAGAGGGACAGAUGUCCUUUGUCGGUUCGUCUUUGUAUUGCUGAAUAGCAGCCAGAAUGUAAGUCUCUGUCCGGGUUUGAGUCUCCACAUUCACCAGGAAACUCACGGACGCGCUGCUGCGCCGCAGAGACCCCACCUGGAUGAGUUCCCGGUACAGCACGUUGGAAAUGUUCUUCAAGUCCAGCAGCUCACAGUAACCACACCCGUUAUCAAUCAAACCACAUGUUAUCAGAUUGUUAUCGGCAACAAGCGGCAACAACACGUUAACACUGAAAGUUGCGUUCAACUUCUCCGUCUCAGAAACUCGUUUAAACUUCGCGUCAGUCGACUCAGGAGCGUAUUCCAAGAUCCCCUUCUGGGUCAGACUCUGGACCAGAGUCAGGUCGUGACUCAGCUGGUACAGCAUCUUUUCAGUGGCGAUAUAAACCGUGCCGUUGGUUACGGCGUAGUGGCGGAUGUCUCCCUUGAAGCGGAACUCUCUGUCCUCCUCCAGACACUGACCUGUUCCUCCCCAGAGAAUGAACAACAGAGCGGGCAGCAGGAGCACCAUCGUGCAGCGGUGUCGACUUCUCUCUCAUUUACUGCUGGCCCUCAUGACUCUCUGCUCUCUCACAGAGUGUCACUGGAGUCGCGCGUAAAAGCGCAGUGCGCCUCUGCCGAAAGGAGAAGUGCAGAAGUGGGAGGGCGCGCGUCCAACGAAACCGAAAACUGGCACCGUAAUGUUUGUGAUCAUCGGCACCAGAAUUUUUUUUCACAGUGCUCGAUUUGUCACACUUCUACUUUAUUUAAAUCCAAAGCAAAUACAGUUUACCUCAGUGAUGAUAGCCUCCAGAUUUUGGAAAAUUAAUCAACUGCGAUCGACCUCAAGUACCAAACGCGAGGAGGAACAUCAUUGCCACACCAAUGCACGUCAAUGGAGCUUUUAUUUUUGCUCUUUUUCAUCACCUCUCUGCGUAUCCAGUCAACAGUUUUGUCAGCUGAUGAGUGGGUGACAUCUAGUGCCAGUUUGGGGAAGUUUUUCUUCCGCUCAAAGCGUACUGUGCUCUUUAUAAACACACUCUGAACAUGUACUGAGGUGGUUUCUUUGACCUUCAUCUGAAUCAUCUAGCCUAUCUAACAAUCUGGAUCACUUGGGCAACCAUCCUCUUUGUAUUUCUUUACGCUUUGACAACCCAAAGACCAUGUGUUUCAGUAUACAUCCUAUCAUUACUAAAUUUGCCCCUUUAACCACAUGCUAAUUUGUUCUCCUGGAAUUACAGGUGUGUUUCAGCAAGUCAGAUAUGCUAAAAAUCCUCUAAGCUUGGCCCCAACCCUGAGAAGUGGACUUAGAGUGCAUCAAAAGACUGGACCAGGAGACUACCACUACCAUAUUCCUAGUACCAAGCCAGCCCUGAACCAGAGAAAAUGUCAUCUUACUUGGAUUCAGGAGAAAAAGACUCGACUGUUGCUCCAAGGUCCAAAGUCCUCUUUUCAGGUCAGUAAAAUCAUAUUUUUUCUUGGAAACCAGGGUCUUUCAGUUUGAAGGACAAGUACUGGAGCUUGGUCACUCCAUGUGAGGACCCUGAUGCUGAUGUUGAUUCCCUUUUCAGGCUGGAUUUAGCACCUGCUCUCAGCGCCAAAACUGCUACUAAACGAUUUGCUGACCAUGAUAGCUGAAACUGAUUUACAGGUCUAUCAGGGCAGGUUCAAGCCCCCUUUACUUAAACCUGAAUCUGUCUGACAUUUGACAAGAAGAGCAGAAACCCCAGAGUCAAAAAUACAGACUGGCUUAUUAAGACGACUAUCACAGUAACCUUGGUCUCUGUGUAGCUAGCUUAAAGGUUGUCUGUGGUACUAUCGCCUCUCUGGCCGUUAGGUUUUGUUUACAAUGCUGUCAGUCAUAAAUAUGCUUUCAUUCAAAGGCCUUUCCUUAAAUAGUUUUAAACAAUUGAUAUAAAUGGUGUUAUAGCUUUAGUAGGAGCUCUAGACCUCGAAAAUUUCAAUUGGCUGUGUGCUUCCUGCGGGUAAAAUGGAUGCAAAUGACUCGGUCCACUCGCCAUAAAACACCCUGUUCUCAUUCUCUACCUUUCGUGGUUUUGAAGCCGACAUGUUUAGCUGCUGCUACAACUUUCUCCUCAGUCUGCAGCCUGACAGUUUUCAACAUCGGGAUUGCUCGGUAAUCAUCAUGUGUGGAGUAGGCUAAGAGGUCUGAUUUGAUUGACAAGUCAAGCGAGUAAGCAAAUGAUGUAAUGCCUUGCUUAAAUUGCACGUGCAGUUUACUGAACCAGGCACAAAGCAAGAGAGUAAGGCUGCACGAUAUUGGAAAAAAAUAACAGUGCGAUUUUUUUCAACCCUGCGAUAUAUAUUGCGAUAUUAAAAAUACGGGAAUUUUCACCAGAUGACCUGAAUAGCAUUUAAUGUUAUGCUGCACCGCUGAAAUCUUGAGGACAGUUAACCUGCACUGAUCUUACCUCUUUUUGUGAAUGUUAAAAUGGCUUCUGUCUGUCUCAGAGAUAUUUUUAGCUUUUAUUGUGCUGGGACGUUAUUGUGGCGACAGAUGAACACAGAACACGUGUUUUGGUCAACAUCAUCCUUCUUUUAACCGAAAUAAUUCCAGAUAACUGACUUUCCUUUUCUUUUUGGCAACAAAUCUUCAUUUUCGGUGGUUUUCUCUUGUUCGUUGCUCAUUUUGCAAUCGUUGUUGUUGUUGUUAGCGGUGCUGUGCCGAGAAACGCAUGUCCUCCGAGAAUUGCAUGCACCUCGCAAAACGCGCACCGCUUAUAGUAGAGUGGUCCACGGAAAUGUACAAUUUAAAACCCAUACAGUUCUUAUUUGUUGGGCUUAACAGUCAGUAAAGUUCCGAAAGUAAUUCUCAGCGGACGCGCAUUUCUCGGCUCAACACCAGCAGCGAGUACCUCCAUGUGCAGAACAUGUGCAGGGGUGGGUUUCCGCCUCUCUGAUUUUGAUUGACAGCUGGCAGGGUAGUCUGAUUGGCAACUGAGAACUGAGUCUGAUUGGCAACUGAGUAAAGGACAAAGGUGAUUGGUGGAUCGGUGCACAGCACAUGCAGAGUCACAUGCUGUGUAUCUCAGUCAGCUACCCUUGAAUUAACUGAGUUCAUUCACCUCCGACAUCGCAGGCUCUGCGAUGUGACUGUCACACACACGUAUAUCGUGCAGGCCUACAAGAGAGAAAAAAAACAUACAUUUUUAUGCGGUAGGCUCGGGUCCGUAUUGGACUCUUUCCCGGUCCGGAAGUGGACCGCGGUCCGCCAUAUGGAGACCACUGGUCUAGAUUCAUUAUAUUUUUAGAUGGAAUUUAGACGUUGCACUUUAACCCAUUAUUCAAUAACCACCUAUUUCAAAAAGUAACUGUGAGUUGAACUGUCUCCGAGUACUUAACCAAAAUAAUUAUGAUAAACAUUGAGCGAUAUACAGUUAGACCUCUGUUAGCCGGCUAGUCUAAACUGGGUUUAAAUUUAGAAGUCUAAAAACCUUUCAUUUUUAGACCUGUGGUAGCCUGAUUUUAGACCAGUCGUCUAGACUACUAGACGUCUAUUAGACCUCUUUUAGACCAAAAUUUCUCAUUGGGAUGAGCACGCCCGUGUUCCCUUAGUUGUAAAUUUUACCUCAUCAUACCAGCGAUGCAAAAGUGUUAACGGGAUAAUAUUUAAGAUGCAUAUCAUUGAGUGUAAAUUAGUUUACUCAUGUUAGAAUGUCAUUUUCAGGUGAUAGAACACAGAAUUGGAUGAACUUGUUUUCUUAAACCAAAUGUUGACCGAAAAAAUGUUUAUUAACAUACAACAUUCAAGUACUUCAAACAAUUGACAUAUUAACACAAUUUAGCCACUCCAGGUAGCAUUUGUUUGCCAUCAGAUACAUUGAUAAAAGGAAAAAAUUUUGAAAGAGAAAAAAAGGUGGUUACUGCAAGCUUUUAGAGUGUUAGUGGGAGGCAAAAUUUGAGCGUCAAAGAGCAUCAACAGGCAAAACAUUCAACGCAAAAAAAAUUGACUCAGUGUGGGGGAGAAUAAGAAGAGUCUGACACAGUCCUGGAUGGGCCAGCACACAGGAGAGGUGAUGUCCUGAUGUUGAGCUCCAGGUUUUCCAUGAUCUUGUUCAUCUUUACAUUCAGCUUCUUUUGUUGCUUAGAUAAAGGAUCCCCACAACUGGGAGAUAAAACCAAGCAGACAACACAGUUUUUUCCAGAUUUGUCAGUGUUUUUAAAACUGCUGUAAGACCAAAAUAGGCCGUCUAACCAUGAAAGGGUACUUACCAACAAUAAUUAAUGGGAUCUGUUGUAAGACAAGCAGUAUCAGGAAGAGAGGAGACCAUGAUGCAGAUUCAAGGAUUUCUGUUUUGUCUCCAUACUUUAUCUGGGACAAAGAAACAAUCAAACUGUAUAAGAAAGGAUUUCAAAAAGGAAGUCUGUGUUUCUGUAAAAGCUUUAGAGACACAUGUAUAUUUUAUCUAUCAAAAGCAUGGUUUAAUUUGGAGUGGCACGACUAAAAACUUACCUCCAAUUCUUGAAAAUCUGUGAUGCUUGAAUUUUUAAUCUCACAAAUGAAAUACUCGGUGUUGCCACUGGCUCCUUUCUCUUCCAUUUCGCAGGGGUAUUUUUGUCCUUCAUGAAUACCCCACACUGAUAUCUCUUCAGGGCUCAUCUCGAGUUUGUCUGCCUUUUUCUGAAACAAGAACAGAAAAAAAUUGCUGAUAUUCAAAUUUUAAUCUCCUCAUUGCGCAUGUGUGCUGGAAAAUCUUGCAUUACCUGUAUAGUGAUGUGGACACUGUCCCCUAUCUUUGUAGACGUGAAGCUUGUAAACUCAGGGUCUGGGUAGUAGGUUAUUUUUGUGGGACAGGUCAAGCUCUCAUUGGCUACUUUCAGGGUCAAAGUGCUGGAAAAAGUCCCUUGAGCAUUUUCAGCUGCAGGUGAGUCGUAGGUGAGAUUCUUGAGUGCCUGUCAAAAACAUUUUGUGUCACGUUAUAGAGAGCUUACAUCUUGUUACAUGAUACACAUACCGAUCAGAAAUCAUGCACGACUAUAAUUGGAGCCAUUUGGAGGGGCCGACUGUUCAUGAAUAGCUUCUUGGAUGCAAUGAAAACAGUAUAAUCUGUGAUUGUAUUUGUCAAACCCUGUACUAUCUGACUUCCACUGUUUUGUAAGAUCAAGCAAAGGCCUUUACAUAUGCCUGAAUAAUUACACAAAAUAAAAACAAGUAGACUAACUCGUACACAUUUUGUUCACUACCGUUUUAAAGAAAACUAAUCAGUUGAAUUAUUUUAACCUCCCAUAUUUUGAUUAUUUCUGAUUAUUACAGACCAACCUGAUAGGUAUUGUGUCCUGGAAAUCCAACCUCCUGCAGGACUCCACUGUGUUUAACGGCUUCCACAAACUCCAGGUGGGAUCCAAUGAUUGUGAUCUUCCUUUUCCAGCUACGGCACACAGAGCAGUAAGCAAUCAAAUAAGAAUGUGUCACUAGAAAUAAUCAGAUUACACACAGCACUCUUAUAGCACCGUAUGUGGAGAAGAGCUACAGGACAUAUAGUUUAGGAUGUCACCUCUUCCUGUUCACAAUGGUAAAAUGUUAUUUAAGGAUUGGUAGACAUGAAGGAUAUCCUCAAUAUAACUAUCAAAAUUACUUUGAAGAAGUGCACAAAACUUUAGAUUGGGGGUUUACAGCAAAUGAAGGAUAUAUGUUUUAAUGAAAUAAUCUUGAAAUCGAUUUUUAGUGUAAAGGUAUUUUUAAAGUUGGUUAUUCGCCAAAUUUAAAAAGUAAAAUAAUGUACAGUAAGCCGAUGGUUAGGCAAAAUAGAGCUCCAAGAAGUGAGGAUUUUUUGUAGUAUUUAACUACAUCAGUAAUGUCUUGAUAUGUCAAGGGUAAUCUUGUUUAUCAAAGUCUAUAUGUUAGCAUUUUUAUGGUUUCUAUAGUCCUAAAACAGUCAUACCUGAACCAGGUGCUUUCAGGUGUAAUUUUUGUGCAGGAUGGUGCUGAGCGAUAGGUGAUUAAGGCGUUACCAUGUCAGCUACCAUCUGGGAGGAGAGCACAUACUUUGGCCACACCUUUAGAUUUUGCACUGGGUAUGUGGAACGUCAGAGUUUCACCAGUGUUGUUCCAAACAGGAGACCUAACCAGAGUGCACAGAGUGAGACAAAGAGAAACUGAAGCAGUGAGAUUCACAGAAGAUAAAAUGUAAUUUUCAGCACUACAAAUUCUUUUAAAGUAAAGUCAAUUUAAUAUUUAUAUAUUAAAUGUUUGUGUUUUGACAAUCCUCAACAUCCUCAAACUACUUUAGCCAAUAAACUUACAUUACCUAUUAAGUUGCCUAUUGUCAACCAUAUAGUAUAAAUACAAAUUUCAGCAAUCUCAAGAAUACACACUUCAACUUAAAAAUUAAGGGAUUUAAAAAAAAAACAGUAAUUGAUAGUGUGUCUCAAUCCAGGUUACAAAUGUAAAUAAACGCUUUUUGCUUUUAACACAACCAAUAUAAGGGUUGUAGCAUUCUUGCUAGAUUUAACACCCUCACAUAAUUGCUUCUUAACAAAAACUAAAAAAAUAUUCUUAAAUCAUUUUUUUUGUAUACACGAGACACGAAAUAUGUGUACAAACCUUGUGCCUCUAUCAAAUCAAAAUUUCAAUGAUCUUUUAAUUACGUUGAUCAAACUGAAUUUACAGUUUCUCUUAUUCCUUGGUCUCCACAUUUCUUUUCAGAAUAAAAGCGUCUGAAUUUACAGGAAACAAUCAUAUUCGUUUGAGAGGAUACUUUCAAAGUAAAAUGAACAACAACAUACUAUUAGGUUAUUUCUGUUUUAAUGCAAGAAUAUACAAAUGUCAUCUAUACAACAUACUUUUUGAAAAAUAGACCAAAGUAAGAAGCAUACUACUAAUAUCUGGCACAAACAAUAUAAUAUCUGUUUUAACUGACAAGAUGUCAAAGCUGAACACAACUAACUGAGAUUACAUUUGGAACUAUGAAAUUGGAUCCUGCGAUCCAUUUUCUAUUAUCCGACAAUGGUUCAGCUUCAGAGGAAAAUUACUAAUGGAUUCUGUUUAAGCCGUUAGAUAACACCAUGCAGCCAAAAACUAUACUACAAAAUAGAUGUGAGAAACCCUCUGGUACCAAACUUUUUCUGCUUUUAUGUGUUGAUAGCUGUUGGAACAGAUCACAAAAUAUCACAACACAAAAAAAUUAAAGAAAAUAUAAGAACAAAGACAGAUUUGUCAGGGCAAACUGUCAAACAUUUGUGUCUCAAAACCAGGCAACAUCUUAAGACACCUCUUUAGCAACCCUGUUUAAAAGACUCAUUCAAACAUUAGAGAGGAAUCAUGAAUUAGCUUGAAAAUCUUCAAUUUAAAGGGCAAAUACACUGUUUUAGUUUCAAGCAGGUCCCGAAGUAACUGUGAUCUAUUUUGAAAUAGUAAAAUGUGUGAAUUCUCAAUCUGACUGCCUUUUUUGUAUCAUUGAAGCUUUUGAAAUGUGAUUUUUAAGUGUGAAUAAAUCCCAUACAGUCACCCAUAAACUGACUCACUCUUGUGGUGUGCAGUCCAGGUCUGCCUGGAUCCUCACUCUGAUCACAGAACAGAGGUUUCUACCAGACAACACUGCGUUGUUUCUGCCGUGGAAAGACACAACACUGGGAGUGAUGGAGGAUAUCUGUGGUCUCUGACAGUCAAACC